rnacentral:rRNA from 1 species
UACAGAGGUCUCGAGCGUUAGGCGGAAUCACUGGGCUUAAAGCGUGUGUAGGCGGAUCGGUAAGUACCUUGUGAAAUCCCACAGCUUAACUGUGGAACUGCUUGGUAUACUGCCAGUCUUGAGCCAGCUAGGGGCUACCGGAACAAAUGGUGGAGCGGUGAAAUGCGUAGAUAUCAUUUGGAACGCCAAUGGUGAAAACAGGUAGCUGGGGCUGUGCUGACGCUGAGACACGAAAGCGUGGGGAGCGAACAGG